AGUGAACGCUGGCGGUAGGCCUAACACAUGCAAGUCGAACGGCAGCACAGUAAGAGCUUGCUCUUACGGGUGGCGAGUGGCGGACGGGUGAGGAAUACAUCGGAAUCUACUUUUUCGUGGGGGAUAACGUAGGGAAACUUACGCUAAUACCGCAUACGACCUACGGGUGAAAGCAGGGGAUCUUCGGACCUUGCGCGAUUGAAGGAGCCGAUGUCGGAUUAGCUAGUUGGCGGGGUAAAGGCCCACCAAGGCGACGAUCCGUAGCUGGUCUGAGAGGAUGAGCAGCCACACUGGCACUGAGACACGGUCAAGACCCCUACGGGAGGCAGCAGUGGGGAAUAUUGGACAAAGGGCGCAAGCCUGAUCCAGCCAUACCGCGUGGGUGAAGAAGGCCUUCGGGUUGUAAAGCCCUUUUGUUGGGGAAGAAAAGCAGCAGGUUAAUACCCCGCUGUUCUGACGGUACCCAAAGAAUAAGCACCGGCUAACUUCGUG
rnacentral:rRNA from 1 species